AGAGUUUGAUCCUGGCUCAGGAUGAACGCUGACAGAAUGCUUAACACAUGCAAGUCAACUUGAAUUUGGGUUUUUAACUUAGAUUUGGGUGGCGGACGGGUGAGUAACGCGUAAAGAACUUGCCUCACAGCUAGGGACAACAUUUAGAAAUGAAUGCUAAUACCUGAUAUUAUGAUUUUAAGGCAUCUUAGAAUUAUGAAAGCUAUAAGCACUGUGAGAGAGCUUUGCGUCCCAUUAGCUAGUUGGAGAGGUAACAGCUCACCAAGGCGAUGAUGGGUAGCCGGCCUGAGAGGGUGAACGGCCACAAGGGGACUGAGACACGGCCCUUACUCCUACGGGAGGCAGCAGUGGGGAAUAUUGGACAAUGGACCGAGAGUCUGAUCCAGCAAUUCUGUGUGCACGAUGAAGUUUUUCGGAAUGUAAAGUGCUUUCAGUUGGGAAGAAAAAAAUGACGGUACCAACAGAAGAAGUGACGGCUAAAUACGUGCCAGCAGCCGCGGUAAUACGUAUGUCACGAGCGUUAUCCGGAUUUAUUGGGCGUAAAGCGCGUCUAGGUGGUUAUGUAAGUCUGAUGUGAAAAUGCAGGGCUCAACUCUGUAUUGCGUUGGAAACUGUAUAACUAGAGUACUGGAGAGGUAAGCGGAACUACAAGUGUAGAGGUGAAAUUCGUAGAUAUUUGUAGGAAUGCCGAUGGGGAAGCCAGCUUACUGGACAGAUACUGACGCUAAAGCGCGAAAGCGUGGGUAGCAAACAGGAUUAGAUACCCUGGUAGUCCACGCUGUAAACGAUGGGUGCUGGGUGCUGGGAUGUAUGUCUCGGUGCCGUAGCUAACGCGAUAAGCACCCCGCCUGGGGAGUACGGUCGCAAGGCUGAAACUCAAAGAAAUUGACGGGGGCCCGCACAAGCGGUGGAGUAUGUGGUUUAAUUCGAUGCAACGCGAAGAACCUUACCCAGGCUUGACAUCUAGGGAACCCUUCGGAAAUGAAGGGGUGCCCUUCGGGGAGCCCUAAGACAGGUGCUGCAUGGCUGUCGUCAGCUCGUGCCGUGAGGUGUUGGGUUAAGUCCCGCAACGAGCGCAACCCCUAUCUUCAGUUGCCAGCAGGUAAGGCUGGGCACUCUGGAGAGACCGCCCCGGUCAACGGGGAGGAAGGUGGGGACGACGUCAAGUCAUCAUGGCCCUUACGCCUGGGGCUACACACGUACUACAAUGGCGCGCACAAAGGGUAGCGAGACCGCGAGGUGGAGCCAAUCCCAAAAAACGCGUCCCAGUCCGGAUUGGAGUCUGCAACUCGACUCCAUGAAGUCGGAAUCGCUAGUAAUUCGAGAUCAGCAUGCUCGGGUGAAUGCGUUCCCGGGCCUUGUACACACCGCCCGUCACACCACGAAAGUCGGUUUUACCCGAAGCCGGUGAGCUAACUCGCAAGAGGAGCAGCCGUCUACGGUAGGGCCGAUGAUUGGGGUGAAGUCGUAACAAGGUAGCCGUAGGGGAACCUGCGGCUG
rnacentral:rRNA from 1 species